rnacentral:tRNA from 1 species
GCUCCCGUGGUGGAACGGUAGACACGUGCGCCUUAGGAGCGCAUGCCGCAAGGCGUGGGGGUUCAAAUCCCUCCGGGAGCACCA